CCUACGGGAGGCAGCAGUGGGGAAUAUUGGACAAUGGGCGCAAGCCUGACCCAGCAACGCCGCGUGAAGGAAGAAGGCUUUCGGGUUGUAAACUUCUUUUCUCAGGGACGAAGGAAGUGACGGUAACUGAUGAGUAAGCCACGGCUAACUGCGUGCCAGCAGCCGCGGUAAUACGUAGGUGGCAAGCGUUAUCCGGAUUUACUGGGUGUAAAGGGCGUGUAGGCGGGACUGCAAGUCAGAUGUGAAAACCACGGGCUCAACCUGUGGACUGCAUUUGAAACUGUAGGUCUUGAGUACUGGAGAGGCAGACGGAAUUCCUAGUGUAGCGGUGAAAUGCGUAGAUAUUAGGAGGAACACCAGUGGCGAAGGCGGUCUGCUGGACAGCAACUGACGCUGAGGCGCGAAAGCGUGGGGAGCAAACAGGAUUAGAUACCCCUGUAGUC
rnacentral:rRNA from 1 species